CACCAGUGUUUUCCUUUUCUAUGCCUUGAUUGUUUAAAAUUUUUUGGGGGGAUGAAUGGAAGUUUUAUUGAAAAGGAAAAGAAGCAAAUACAAGAAAAGAUGCAAACGAUGCAUGGUAGCAUCACAACUCUGACUACAAGCUUCUACAAGCUGAAAAAAAAAAAAAUUAAAAAUUAAAAA